AAAAACCAUUGUGAUUCUUAGUUUAUGAUUCUCUCUCAUAGACACAAACAAACCUUUUUACCUCUUGAAAGAAAACAUAUCAAUCUCUCUUCUUUCUAGAGAUAGGAGGAAGAGAGAAAACUCAAAUUAUUCACAUUCUACAAGACAAGAUAUUCAUAUUAUUCAAGUAUUUGGGAGCAAUAUAUCAAUAAUUAUAUUCAUCAAUAUGGCUAAGGGAAUGAGAAAUCAAAUUUCAUGGUUGGAAGUUGCACCGGCACCUAUAAUUUUUCCAACAAAGCCUUCUUCAAAUUCUCCUAAAUUGGAAACCAUUACUGAAGAAGUUGGCGAGGAAUUCAACAAUGAUAAUAGCUACUUAAAUUAAACAAUGAUAAGAGCUAUUUAAUUUGUGAUAGGUACCUUCCCUAUAUAUAUUUUUUAUGGUUUUGACAUUGGAUACAUUAUCCAUGGAAAUAAUUUGAUGGUACCCACAUCUUGCAUCGAAUCUAGGGGUCUUAAUAUUUGAAAGUGGUGCAAGAUUUUGAGGUGGUAGAUAUGCAAAAAUCAAAUAUGUUUUGGAGGCUAUAGCAUAUUAUGAAGAUAAUAUAUAGUUGUGAAGUUGAUCAUGGUCGAGUUUGCAACAAUUGUGACACAUACAAAUGUUGUAAAUAUGUUUUUUUAUUUAUGCAUUUUUAUAAUUUUAUUGUGAUCUAUACUUUCUGAUGAUGCUUUGUGAAAUAUACAAAUGUAAAAAGAAAAUUGAUUUAUGCAUGUAUAAAUUUAUUGUGUUCUGUAUUUUCAAAUGAUGCUUUGCUAGAUAGAUGUUGCAAACAAC
rnacentral:lncRNA from 1 species